GAUGAACGCUGGCGGCGUGCCUAAUACAUGCAAGUCGAGCGAACAGAUGAGGAGCUUGCUCCUCUGACGUUAGCGGCGGACGGGUGAGUAACACGUGGAUAACCUACCUAUAAGACUGGGAUAACUUCGGGAAACCGUAGCUAAUACCGGAUAAUAUAUUGAACCGCAUGGUUCAAUAGUGAAAGACGGUUUUGCUGUCACUUAUAGAUGGAUCCGCGCCGCAUUAGCUAGUUGGUAAGGUAACGGCUUACCAAGGCAACGAUGCGUAGCCGACCUGAGAGGGGGAUCGGCCACACUGGAACUGAGACACGGUCCAGACUCCUACGGGAGGCAGCAGUAGGGAAUCUUCGGCAAUGGGCGAAAGCCUGACGGAGCAACGCCGCGUGAGUGAUGAAGGUCUUCGGAUCGUAAAACUCUGUUAUUAGGGAAGAACAAAUGUGUAAGUAACUAUGCACGUCUUGACGGUACCUAAUCAGAAAGCCACGGCUAACUACGUG
rnacentral:rRNA from 1 species